rnacentral:rRNA from 1 species
GACGAACGCUGGCGGCGUGCCUAAUACAUGCAAGUCGAGCGCAGGAAAUCGACGGAACCCUUCGGGGGGAAGUCGACGGAAUGAGCGGCGGACGGGUGAGUAACACGUAAAGAACCUGCCCUCAGGUCUGGGAUAACCACGAGAAAUCGGGGCUAAUACCGGAUGGGUCAUCGGACCGCAUGGUCCGAGGAUGAAGGGCGCUUCGGCGUCGCCUGGGGAUGGCUCUGCGGUGCAUUAGCUAGUUGGUGGGGUAAUGGCCCACCAAGGCGACGAUGCAUAGCCGACCUGAGAGGGUGAUCGGCCACACUGGGACUGAGACACGGCCCAGACUCCUACGGGAGGCAGCAGUAGGGAAUCUUCCACAAUGGACGAAAGUCUGAUGGAGCAACGCCGCGUGAACGAUGAAGGCCUUCGGGUCGUAAAGUUCUGUUGUAAGGGAAGAACAAGUGCCGCAGGCAAUGGCGGCACCUUGACGGUACCUUGCGAGAAAGCCACGGCUAACUACGUGCCAGCCGCCGCAGUAA